CUCUUGGAUGCCAGACCUAGGGCUGGCUGGUUCACCUGAGGGCUCUAUCUCCUGGGCAGGUGGGCUCCUGGCCUCCAGGGAGAUCUUCCUGCAUUAGUGUAAAUCCCCCCCAGAACCACUAAACAAUCUCCCGAAAUCAGCGGAUUUCUCAAAGCAGAAGGAAAACACAAAAGCAUCCCAAAGAUUACAAAACAUUAACUAACUCUGAAACUCUCGGCCAAGUGACAACUUUCCUCCCGUCUGGCUUUGAAUGGAAUUUAAGUCUGGGAGAGAACACCUCCAGAAUUUCCUGUAACCUUCAGCCCUGGAGGGGAGAGGCAGCGAGGCUAGGAAAAACGAAAGCAAGAAAGCUGAAGAAGAGGAGCAAGAAGUGCUGUGAGAGGCACCAGCAGGGAGGGAGGCCUGGAAGGCGCAUCUGCAAGUCUACAUUCUAGACCUGCUGCCCCAGGGGGGGCAGACCAGAAGCUGGGAAAAGCCUAAAUAAAGAACAUCAAAAUUAAAAGCAGCCAAGCGUGGCCUGGGGACCCUCCCCUCCCCUGGGGGGGGGGGGGGCAGGGAGACCAGCCCAGGUAGCUACACAAUGAAUUCCCUCCAGACUAAGCCACGGGCAGAGCAGCUCCCAGGCCCGGGGAGGCCUGCCCCCAGACACUGGGAAGCCGAGAGAAGGAAACUCUCAGCCAAGAUGAGAAGACUGAGGUUUACAGAAGUUAAGCAACUUGUCCAAGGUCAGAGCGGUUGUACCAGUACUUCAACUAAAUUGGCCCAGUUGAGAGGAGUGGGAGCAUCUCUCCCUUCAGCCGCCCUUCCUACCCUUGCAUCUUGUCUGGAAUGCAAGAGAAACAAAGGCUCAGAGAGGCAAUUCUACUCUCCUUGUGGGGGCGAGACCUUCAUGAGCCCACUUUUCUGAUACAAUCCCUUUUGACCGGCUCAACUCCUGUUGGAAUCCAGGCACUCCCAUAACCUUCUCUGGCUUAUUUUGGCAAGAAGGUGGCUGUUGAGAUGAAGAUGGAAUGUUUUCGGUUUGAGGAGAGGCAGUAGACACCAUGCCUUAAUCGGUGGAUGGUCAGAAGUUUUGGCACUGAAAAAAGCAAUGAGGUUUGGAGUGGAGGCAAGUGGCACAGCAGAGAAAGCCUUCCUGUGAGCAUUGGGAUACCAAGUCUGGUUUCAGAUCUGAUCCUUAAUGAAUGACCUUGGGCAAGUCCCUGUUCACUCGGUUGGCAACAUUCUGCACGCCAGGCGUCGUGCUAAGUGACCUAACAUCACCGUGAGCCAAACUGGUGAGAGUCCCUUCCCCUCUCGAGCUUAAUGUUUCAUUAGUAACCACGAACAAAUAUAUGAUCAGAAACUGGGUGAGGAAAAAAUGCAAAGUGCGCUAAACUGGUGCUUGGUGACCUGAGCUGUCACGGGAGGCGGUGUGGGGCUCAAGGAGGGCAUUCCUGAGGAAAUAGUUUUCACCGAUAUGAAGAAGGAAUGGAGUGCAACAAAAGCAAAAAUAGAGAACAUUACACUGAAAAGCUGCACAGCAAAGGAAAAGACAGAAUAAAAAGGCCUCCUCUGGAGUGAGAGAAAAUAUUUGCAAACUACAAUAUCUGCCGAGGAGCUCAUUUCCAAAAUCUAUAAGGGACUCCUAAAACUCAAGAGCAGAAACAACAUAUAACCCAAGUAAAAUAUGGGCGGAGGGGACACCUGUGUGGCUUAGUGGUUGGGCAUCUGCCUUUGGCUGGGGGCAUGAUCCCAGGGUCCUGGAAUCCAGUCCCAUAUCGGCUCCCCACUCUGCCUGUGUCUCUGCCUCUCUGUGUCUCUCAUGAAUAAAUAAGUAAAAUAUUUUUUUAAGUGGGCAGAGGCCCUCAGUAGACAUUUCUCCAAAGAGGAUGUUCAGAGAUGGCCAACAAGUAUGUGAAAAGGUGUUCAGCAUCACUUGUCAUCAGGGAAAUGAAAGUCAAAAACCACAAGGAGAUGCCACCUCACAUCCCUGAGAAUGGUUAAUGUCAAAAAAAUGAGAGAUAACAAGUAUCAGGGAGGUUGUGGAGAAAUUAGAACCCUUGUGCACUGUUGAUGUAUGUGGGAAUGCACAAUAAUGUGACCAUUAUGGAAAACAGUAUGGAGUGUCCUCAAAAAAACUUAAAAUAGGGGCAGCUGGGUGUCUUAGUGUUUGAGUGUCUGCCUUUGGCUGGGGUCAAGAUCCCAGUGUCCUGGGAUCAAGUUCCAC